rnacentral:lncRNA from 1 species
GAGGGAAGUAAUUUGGAGUGGCUGCCCUGCCCUAUUUAAGGCCCACCUGCUCUUACAAGUUGUGUGCUGAUAGCUGUAUGUGGGGGUGUUUUCAUCUGAAGGUGGGAUAAUUGGCUCUGGAGUGGUCUGUCAGCUUAGCACCAAGGAAGAAGUUGGGCUCUGUGUCUGCUUCUAGGCUUUGCUUUGUUUAUGCCCAAGUCUUUCAGUAUCCUAAAGGCUUGCUGGAGAAGGCUGCUAGCAGGAUUAUUGCUGUAAAUCUCGAUCAUGGGAAACAAAAUCAGUCGCAAGAGGUAUUGCUGUAGAAAGUCCAAGAGUUUUAAAAGGCAGGCAACUGAGCAAGGAAAUGCAGAAGGUGAUCUCCCUGUUGCCCAGAAGGCUCUGGGGGCUGUGCUGCAGAGCAGUCUUCCAAAGGAGAAAUCACAAGAUAAUGCUACAAGGACACAGAAUGAAGACAUAGAAAAUGAAAUAGCCUCAUCUCUAGAAUACCUGCAGAAGUCUGUGGAACAAAUAGCAGUGCAAACCGCAGAGCUACAAGACCUUGGUGAGAUCCAGCCUUAUACAGAAGAGACUGAAACCAAGCCUGCUACAAUGGCUGCUGUAGAGACAGGAGCUAGAGAUGUGAAAGAUGUGGUGACUGCCCAGGCACCAGCAGAAGGCAACUUGGUACGCAAGAGGCCACGUGGCAAGAUGUGCAAGCCAAGCCCUCUCUGCAGGUGGCUGAAGAAACUCAAGUCCUCUGCUUAAAAAAGCUAAGGUCAAGCCCAAUGCAAUAACCUGGCAAGAGAGAGGCUUCCUGGGGACUAUGAAAGGACUAUUAAUUGCCCUGUGUGGUAUCCUCAAAACAACAACAAAAAGACUAAUAAAAAGGAAACUCUGACUCGCA